AUUGAACGCUGGCGGCAGGCCUAACACAUGCAAGUCGAGCGGAUGAAGGGAGCUUGCUCCUGGAUUCAGCGGCGGACGGGUGAGUAAUGCCUAGGAAUCUGCCUGGUAGUGGGGGAUAACGUCCGGAAACGGGCGCUAAUACCGCAUACGUCCUGAGGGAGAAAGUGGGGGAUCUUCGGACCUCACGCUAUCAGAUGAGCCUAGGUCGGAUUAGCUAGUUGGUGGGGUAAAGGCCUACCAAGGCGACGAUCCGUAACUGGGCUGAGAGGAUGAUCAGUCACACUGGAACUGAGACACGGUCCAGACUCCUACGGGAGGCAGCAGUGGGGAAUAUUCGACAAUGGGCGAAAGCCUGAUACAGCCAUGCCGCGUGUGUGAAGAAGGUCUUCGGAUUGUAAAGCACUUUAAGUUGGGAGGAAGGGCAGUAAGUUAAUACCUUGCUGUUUUGACGUUACCAACAGAAUAAGCACCGGCUAACUUCGUG
rnacentral:rRNA from 1 species